GAUGAAGAACGUAGCGAAAUGCGAUACUUGGUGUGAAUUGCAGAAUCCCGUGAACCAUCGAGUCUUUGAACGCGAGUUGCGCCUGAAGCCAUUAGGCCGAGGGCACGCCUGCCUGGGUGUCACACACCGUUACCCUCGCGCCAACUUCCAUCGUUGGCCGCGGCGCGGGGCGUGCGCUGACCUCCCGCGAGCGGGGUCUCGUGGUUGGUUGAAAAUCGAGUUCGCGGUCGAGGGUGCCGUGAUGAAAUGGUGGAUGGGCGACGCCCGAGGCCAAUCACGCGCGACUCCGUCCGGCUCGGACUCCUGGACCCCUUCGGCGUCUCCGGACGCUCUUUGGCGAGACCUCAGGUCAGGCGGGGCUACCCGCUGAGUUUAAGCAUAUCAAUAAGCGGAGGA
rnacentral:misc_RNA from 1 species